UGGAGCAUGUGCUUUAAUUCGAGGCAACGCGAAGAACCUUACCUGGCCUUGACAUGGGAGCUCCGCCUUCGGCGGGUUAGCCCUGUGAAAGCAGGGUUAGUCCACACAGGUGCUGCAUGGCUGUCGUCAGCUCGUGUCGUGAGAUGUUGGGUUAAGUCCCGCAACGAGCGCAACCCUUGCGACUAGUUACCAACGGGUAAUGCCGGGGACUCUAGUUGGACUGCCGGUGAUAAACCGGAGGAAGGUGGGAUGACGUCAAGUCAUUAUGGCCCUUACGGCCAGGGCUAGACACGUGCUACAAUGGUCGGUACAAUGAGCUGCAAUACCGCGAGGUGGAGCCAAUCUCAAAAAGCCGGCCUCAGUACGGAUUGGAGUCUGCAACUCGACUCCAUGAAGUUGGAAUCGCUAGUAAUCGCGCAUCAGCAUGGCGCGGUGAAUACGUUCCCGGGAAUU
rnacentral:rRNA from 1 species